rnacentral:tRNA from 1 species
GAUGAUGAUCCCAAGCCUUCAGGCGUUCUGUUUAUUAAAUUCCAAAAGCAAUAAAAACAUUUAGGAGUGUUUAAAAAAAACAAACCAAAAGCGUUUAAGAAACAUAUAUGUUUGUUAAACAUAUCUUUUAUCUGUCCCGAGGAAGGUUUUUACCAAUUCACUCCUGAGGGCUUGUAGCUCAGUUGGUUAGAGCGCGCGCUUGAUAAGCGUGAGGUCGGAGGUUCAAGUCCUCCCAGGCCCACCAAUUUAUGAUCGCUGAUAAAGUUUUUUGCGAACGUUUUGAUAGUCUUUUAUGUUGCAAUCUUUCACUUUUAUGUUGCACUUUUAAAAGUUAUUUGAACUGUUUUAGGGGCCGUAGCUCAGCUGGGAGAGCACCUGCUUUGCAAGCAGGGGGUCGUCGGUUCGAUCCCGUCCGGCUCCACCAUCUUUGGUUAUCAUCAUCGUUGGAGAACAAUGUUUGCAAUAGAUUUAUAGAUCUUAAGUCUAUCAUCUAUUGCCUGUUCU